rnacentral:tRNA from 1 species
AUUAGGGUGGCAGAGCCAGGCUAAUUGCGCGAGCCCUAAACACUCUACAUCAGAGGUUCAAAUCCUCUCCCUAAUA